rnacentral:lncRNA from 1 species
UCUUAGAGCCAGGCUGGGUGGGGCCGCCCAGCUGGCCGCAGGGUGAGGGGCAGAUGCUAGCCCCACCUCGCCUGGGGCAUUUUCCUUUGAAAAGGAGUCCAGAUGACGAGUGCCAGAGCCCAGAAGUCUUGAGGACACCCUGGCACCCACUACAGAAUGUGGUUUUCUGAAACCAAAUGACAGCGCCCCCAAGAUGGAGUGGCUCUGGGCAUCCUUAGCGCCUUGGGGGGUGGUGUUGGCGGGAGGUGCCUUGGCUUGGAAUGUUCAUUUCUUCUGGAAGCACCUGCUGGCUGCUCCACGUCUGGCUGUCCUGGGAAGUUUCGCCCAGGGGUCUGCCCCCAGGGUCUCUCUCGGGUUGGCUUGGGAGCAAGGUGGUCCAUGGGUGCCCCAACUGGAGGCCAUGGAGCGCGAGGAGGAAAGCAAAGCCUUCGGGUGUGUAGAUCUCCAGCCCUCAGCUGCAGUGCAGCCUGGCCCUGGGCCUCACUGAGUGCCAGUUUCCCUGAGGAGGUUGAGCUACUCCAGCUGGAGCUGUGAACACCAGCCAGCAAACCCCAGGCCAACCACUGGGACCACUGGGCCUCACAAUCAGCCCUCCUGCCCGGGAAGUAAGCCAGGCUAGUGACUGCUCCACAAGAUGCCAGUGCUGUUUGUAAACACACGACCCGGCUCACGAGACCUCUUCCUUGACUGUCAGAGGGGCUGUGCUGUGAGGACACGGGCUUCUCGACCCCAGAGGGAGCUGGGGUCCACUCAUGGGUGGGGCAGGCCUGCUGCCAGGACACCCAGGACCCCAUGGUAACCUGUAAACCUCCCCCCGCCACCCACCCACUGUGUGCCAAGUUCCAACAGGGACCUGAAGCAGGUGCUGCUAGGCUGCCCACAUACCAGCCUGGAAGGGGCCAUGCAACCUGGUGGUUCCCUGUGCUCCGGAACUAAGGCAGAGCAGGGAGGGAGCCUCCCCAGAAGGCUGACAAGGACCCUGGGGGCUGUCACUCAGAAGACAGGGAAAACCUGGGGCAAGGGCUCCCGCCAGCGACAUCGGUCAGCCCAGCGACAGCGCUCCAUCCAAGCAGCCGCUGCUUAUGUGCAAAAUCACAAAGGCUGUCUGAGGACCCUGUCCAAGCAGCCACUGCUUAGGUGCAGUCACAGAAGCCAUCUGCGGACCGAAAGAGCAUCGAGGCCGGCAGCUUUUGCACUGUUUGCCUGCCUUUAGCAGAACAGCUCUGCCUUCUUUAGAGGAAGCUGCGAAGAUGCUGAUAGACCGAAGGCGGCCCCACAUGAUCCGCUGGGCUCCCCCAGCCCUGUCUGAGCCUGCAGGGGCUCCUGGAAGCCACAGCAUGAAGCCCCCCCUCUGUCCCAGCAUGUCUGCUCAUGGGGAGAUGGGGGCCCGUGGGUGAGGCAAGUUCCCUCUCACAUUCCAUGCCGGCCCCAGAUGAGUCAGUUUAAUCCUGUAAGCCUGGGUCCGGGCGCUGCCCCUUUCUGAACAUAGCAUUGGGUUGAAAGCCAGCCCCACGGUUCAUUGACACAUUGUUGAGGACUGCUUUCCCACGACAACAGCAGAGGCGCGUGACAGAGCGCAGCAUGGCCCACAAAACUGAAAAUGUUCAGGAUAUGCCUCAUUCACAGAGCUGUUUGGCUGUCCCCUGCCAAAAACAAUCAAACAACGGAGCUCCAGGGUGGAUCCAGGAAGGAGAAGGAGCAGAUUGGGCUGGGAGGGGCUGACAGCACCCGGUCGGGUUAGACAUGGGUCGUCUGAGCCGCAGCUGAACCUGGCGUUGGAAAUCUCCCGUCUGAGUGGCUUACUACACAGCUUCAGCACACUGGGCCUCCACGACCGGACCCAGGGGCUUCCUUCUGAGGAGUUAUCUUCAUAUCUUGAAGUUGGUGGAGGGAUCGCAAGACCCUUUUGCUGGAAGGGAGUUAAAGAGCCAGAAACCCUUCCGGCCUCUUGUCACCUCCUCUGAUUUAGCACCUGCUGUUUCUGUGAUAUUUUAUAGACUUACCUGACCUCCAGAAAAUUCAAGGAGUUUGCCAGUGGGGGACUGUCAAGCUGCUGGAGAGGUGGUCGUCACGAUUUAAGCCCGUACUCACACGCUUGCUGGAUAAACAAGAACCCCCUCCCUCUGCGGGUGACACCCCCAGCGUGUGACAGUUUUUAGAAUCAGAACUGCUGAGGGGCACUGUCAGGUUCCCCCGUAAGCAAUUAUACCCACCUUGGCCCUGCGGAUUUCAGAGAAGACAUGUUGGUCCCUUUGAUUUUAAAAAGUCAAUCUCUGCAUGAAGACAUUGAAACAAACAAGAGGGCUUGGGCAUCAGCUACAGACAUGCAGUGAGUCACAGCAGCACACUUUCCCGACCUUUGCCCCGCGUCUGACAGAAGGGAAGUGAACCUCUUUUGACACAGCCCUUGUGAAGUCCCCUUAGCUUUGUCGUGUUCUUUCCUGUGAGCAGAGCUCAAGGCACAUGGCUUUGCCACUUCUGCAGCGGACCUUAAAGUGGAAGAACGCGCCUUCACAUGCUGGCUGGAAAUGCGAAGUUCCCGAACACCCAGACAGUGUUCCUGCCAGUGUCCUGGCUGGUUUUACAGUGUGAACACUGGGGCUUCUCCUUAAGUGUCCCGGCUUCAAGUCAGCCCUGCAGGUUUUCCUCCUCUGUGUGCAGCCUCUCCUGGAGGACCCUCUCAUGCCUAGCCCCAGGGUGGAUGAACACUGGAUCCUCCACAGGGCUUACUCCUUCUCCAAGUGACCCUCCUGCCAGGGCAGCCCCUGUGCCCCAUCUUGUGGUGACACACACACCUGGCAAACGUGAGUGUUUGGGGGCUCAUAGACUACACAGAGCUCAUUACAAUUGCAUCUUUUUGUUGUUGUUGUUGAGACAGAGUCUCACCCUGUCACCUAGGCUGGAGUG